rnacentral:rRNA from 1 species
UGGGAAUUUGGACAAUGGGCGAAAGCCUGAUCCAGCAAUGCCGCGUGUGUGAAGAAGGCCUUCGGGUUGUAAAGCACUUUUGUCCGGAAAGAAAUCCUUGGCUCUAAUACAGUCGGGGGAUGACGGUACCGGAAGAAUAAGCACCGGCUAACUACGUGCCAGCAGCCGCGGUAAUACGUAGGGUGCAAGCGUUAAUCGGAAUUACUGGGCGUAAAGCGUGCGCAGGCGGUUUGCUAAGACCGAUGUGAAAUCCCCGGGCUCAACCUGGGAACUGCAUUGGUGACUGGCAGGCUAGAGUAUGGCAGAGGGGGGUAGAAUUCCACGUGUAGCAGUGAAAUGCGUAGAGAUGUGGAGGAAUACCGAUGGCGAAGGCAGCCCCCUGGGCCAAUACUGACGCUCAUGCACGAAAGCGUGGGGAGCAAAACAGGAUUAGAUACCCUGGUAGUCCACGCCCUAAAACGAUGUCAACUAGUUGUUGGGGAUUCAUUUCCUUAGUAACGUAGCUAACGCGUGAAGUUGACCGCCUGGGGAGUACGGUCGCAAGAUUAAAACUUAAAUGAAUUGACGGGGUCAUAGCUG